CGAGAAACUGUUGUUACCAUCGGCGCCAUUGUGUGGUCAAUAUGGCGGUUAAUUUGACACAGCCUUGGCGUCUUUAUUGUUCGUGCGAUGGUAACCAUAAAAUUGCUCAACGGCCAUAAUAGAUGUCAUGCUAUUGAAAAAUUAGUUCGCUAAUGGAUUGUUCGAGGGUCGUUCAUUUAACGCUUUCAACAUGGGACAAUCGAAACUUACGAGAAUGCGUCAGCUGUAGGAGUGCGAUGAUCCAGGAAGAGAAGUAUACUCGCCACCUCAGGUUGCUUCUGGAAAAAUAAUUUAAUAAGGAAACAAUAUGGUUGCAACGUAACGACGCAUAAAUAUCAAAAAGGCUUUUUGUCCUCCCUCAAAAGGCGAGACAUUAAUUUUCAUUAAACUAAUUGAAAAUGCCUUGUGUCAACAAGAGAAACGUAUGAUAUAUGAUAAUUGAGAUAUGACCUAUUAUUGAAUCACUGAUAGUAGCUUUGCUUGUAAUAAAGAACAUUUUUAUUGAGUUCAAAUAAAUUUUUUACAAUUUUCCUACAAUUUUUUUCAUCAGAGUUCUAUUAUUGACAACUAUUUAUGUAUAUGGCGAUUUUAUACUACAUAUUUCCAUUCUUCACGCGCAGUGUCAAUUGGUGCAAUCGUGGAGAUUGACGAGACUCGUGAAAGAUCGCUAGGAAUGUAAGCGUUAGUCGUAUACUUGA